UGGACUAAUAUGAACACAUUCGAAUUCGCCUAAAUUUUCUUUUGUCCAAAUGGGCGACGUCUAGAUACACUCAUAGCUCAUAUGGGCAAAACCAAAUGGAUAUGUGCUGUCCAAAUCUUAAAAAUAUCUAGGGUUAAUAUUUGGAGAAAAGUCAUAACUUUUUUUCUGGCCGUCAGCGAUUCACGAACUCUCAAAGACGAACCCAAAAUCGCGUCGAACAAUCCUUCUUCUAUCUCCUCCCUCUCUACUCUUGUUUCGCCUGUCGAACAAUCCUUUUUCUAUCUUCUCACUCUCUACUCUUGUUUCGCCUCUCUAUCGCAUCUCUCUCGGGUCCGCAUCUCGCUCAGGUUAGAUGGAUAUCUCUCUCGAUUUAGGGAUUCUGGGUUUGGUCGGUUCGAUUGACUUGUAACUUGCGAUUCUAUGUUUGAACUUUAAUAGUUUGAUGGGUUCGAUUGACUGAUAACUUUCGAUUCAAAGUUUAAACUUUGAUGGAUCCUUCAAGUUCGAUUGUUUGCUUUGGCUCGGUUUGAUAGAAGUAUUCGAAGAAAAAUAAGAGAAGGAAAGUGAAUAUGAAGAAGAAGGUGGAAGAAAGAAGAGAAUGAAACAUGAAGUUUGAUUCUAAAUUUAAAUACUUUUGUAAAAAUUGAAGUUUAACUCUAAAUUUAAGUAUUUUUUUUUAAAAUAUGGAGUUUAAGUCUAAGUAUUUUAUGUAAAACAUGGAGUUUAAGUCUAAGUAUUUUAUGUAAAACAUGGAGUUUAAUUAAGUCUUUGUAUCUUGUGUAAAACAUGAAGUUUAAGUAGUUAUAAUACAAACUGUGUAAGUAUGUUAUA